rnacentral:lncRNA from 1 species
GAUAAGGAGAACAUCCUGAUGGGGACAGGGGAGAUACACCUUGAAGACAUGGCAGAGAGCUAGCAGAAUGGCAAAGAAGGCACAUCCACUCCUGAGGACAAGGAGAGUAAGCAGGAGGAUGUUGACAGCAUAGAGGUGGAAGGGACCAAUGACAGUAACAUCAACAGCACAACAGUGGAGGAGCCACCCACAGACCCAAUGCCAGAAUGA